GGGUUGUGAGGUUAAGCGACUAAGCGUACACGGUGGAUGCCCUGGCAGUCAGAGGCGAUGAAGGGCGUGCUAAUCUGCGAUAAGCGCCGGUAAGGUGAUAUGAACCGUUAUAACCGGCGAUACCCGAAUGGGGAAACCCAGUGUGAUUCGUCACACUAUCAUUAACUGAAUCCAUAGGUUAAUGAGGCGAACCGGGGGAACUGAAACAUCUAAGUACCCCGAGGAAAAGAAAUCAACCGAGAUUCCCCCAGUAGCGGCGAGCGAACGGGGAGGAGCCCAGAGCCUGAAUCAGCAUGUGUGUUAGUGGAAGCGUCUGGAAAGGCGCGCGAUACAGGGUGACAGCCCCGUACACAAAAGCGCAUGUGCUGUGAGCUCGAUGAGUAGGGCGGGACACGUGGUAUCCUGUCUGAAUAUGGGGGGACCAUCCUCCAAGGCUAAAUACUCCUGACUGACCGAUAGUGAACCAGUACCGUGAGGGAAAGGCGAAAAGAACCCCGGCGAGGGGAGUGAAAAAGAACCUGAAACCGUGUACGUACAAGCAGUGGGAGCACCCUUCGGGGUGUGACUGCGUACCUUUUGUAUAAUGGGUCAGCGACUUAUAUUCUGUAGCAAGGUUAACCGUAUAGGGGAGCCGGAGGGAAACCGAGUCUUAACCGGGCGUUAAGUUGCAGGGUAUAGACCCGAAACCCGGUGAUCUAGCCAUGGGCAGGUUGAAGGUUGGGUAACACUAACUGGAGGACCGAACCGACUAAUGUUGAAAAAUUAGCGGAUGACCUGUGGCUGGGGGUGAAAGGCCAAUCAAACCGGGAGAUAGCUGGUUCUCCCCGAAAGCUAUUUAGGUAGCGCCUCGUGAAUUCAUCUCCGGGGGUAGAGCACUGUUUCGGCUAGGGGGCCAUCCCGGCUUACCAACCCGAUGCAAACUGCGAAUACCGGAGAAUGUUAUCACGGGAGACACACGGCGGGUGCUAACGUCCGUCGUGAAGAGGGAAACAACCCAGACCGCCAGCUAAGGUCCCAAAGUCAUGGUUAAGUGGGAAACGAUGUGGGAAGGCCCAGACAGCCAGGAUGUUGGCUUAGAAGCAGCCAUCAUUUAAAGAAAGCGUAAUAGCUCACUGGUCGAGUCGGCCUGCGCGGAAGAUGUAACGGGGCUAAACCAUGCACCGAAGCUGCGGCAGCGAACGUAUCACCCAAGACAACUUUACGGAGUUGACGAUUGACGGAGCGAAGCGACGUCAAAGCGUUCAUUAAAGUCGAGUUGGCUUAGGGAUACGUUCGUUGGGUAGGGGAGCGUUCUGUAAGCCUGCGAAGGUGACCUGUGAGGGUUGCUGGAGGUAUCAGAAGUGCGAAUGCUGACAUAAGUAACGAUAAAGCGGGUGAAAAGCCCGCUCGCCGGAAGACCAAGGGUUCCUGUCCAACGUUAAUCGGGGCAGGGUGAGUCGACCCCUAAGGCGAGGCCGAAAGGCGUAGUCGAUGGGAAACGGGUUAAUAUUCCCGUACUUGGUGUUACUGCGAAGGGGGGACGGAGAAGGCUAUGUUGGCCGGGCGACGGUUGUCCCGGUUUAAGCGUGUAGGUGUGUGUUCCAGGUAAAUCCGGUUCACUUUAACACUGAGGCGUGACGACGAGGCACUACGGUGCUGAAGCAACAAAUGCCCUGCUUCCAGGAAAAGCCUCUAAGCAUCAGGUAACAUCAAAUCGUACCCCAAACCGACACAGGUGGUCAGGUAGAGAAUACCAAGGCGCUUGAGAGAACUCGGGUGAAGGAACUAGGCAAAAUGGUGCCGUAACUUCGGGAGAAGGCACGCUGACACGUAGGUGAAGUGAUUUACUCACGGAGCUGAAGUCAGUCGAAGAUACCAGCUGGCUGCAACUGUUUAUUAAAAACACAGCACUGUGCAAACACGAAAGUGGACGUAUACGGUGUGACGCCUGCCCGGUGCCGGAAGGUUAAUUGAUGGGGUCAGCGCAAGCGAAGCUCCUGAUCGAAGCCCCGGUAAACGGCGGCCGUAACUAUAACGGUCCUAAGGUAGCGAAAUUCCUUGUCGGGUAAGUUCCGACCUGCACGAAUGGCGUAAUGAUGGCCAGGCUGUCUCCACCCGAGACUCAGUGAAAUUGAACUCGCUGUGAAGAUGCAGUGUACCCGCGGCAAGACGGAAAGACCCCGUGAACCUUUACUAUAGCUUGACACUGAACAUUGAGCCUUGAUGUGUAGGAUAGGUGGGAGGCUUUGAAGUGUGGACGCCAGUCUGCAUGGAGCCGACCUUGAAAUACCACCCUUUAAUGUUUGAUGUUCUAACGUGGACCCGUAAUCCGGGUUGCGGACAGUGUCUGGUGGGUAGUUUGACUGGGGCGGUCUCCUCCUAAAGAGUAACGGAGGAGCACGAAGGUUGGCUAAUCCUGGUCGGACAUCAGGAGGUUAGUGCAAUGGCAUAAGCCAGCUUGACUGCGAGCGUGACGGCGCGAGCAGGUGCGAAAGCAGGUCAUAGUGAUCCGGUGGUUCUGAAUGGAAGGGCCAUCGCUCAACGGAUAAAAGGUACUCCGGGGAUAACAGGCUGAUACCGCCCAAGAGUUCAUAUCGACGGCGGUGUUUGGCACCUCGAUGUCGGCUCAUCACAUCCUGGGGCUGAAGUAGGUCCCAAGGGUAUGGCUGUUCGCCAUUUAAAGUGGUACGCGAGCUGGGUUUAGAACGUCGUGAGACAGUUCGGUCCCUAUCUGCCGUGGGCGCUGGAGAACUGAGGGGGGCUGCUCCUAGUACGAGAGGACCGGAGUGGACGCAUCACUGGUGUUCGGGUUGUCAUGCCAAUGGCACUGCCCGGUAGCUAAAUGCGGAAGAGAUAAGUGCUGAAAGCAUCUAAGCACGAAACUUGCCCCGAGAUGAGUUCUCCCUGAGACUUUAGGUCUCCUGAAGGAACGUUGAAGACGACGACGUUGAUAGGCCGGGUGUGUAAGCGCAGCGAUGCGUUGAGCUAACCGGUACUAAUGAACCGUGAGGCUUAACCUUACAACGCCGAAG
rnacentral:rRNA from 1 species